rnacentral:lncRNA from 1 species
CAAAGGUGAAAUCCCUAAUAAAGAGAGUUUCGCUAAGGAGGGGGAAAAACAGUGGAAAAACAUCCUUUCUUUGAAAGCUUCCUGAAUUGCCAUCAAAAUUGCCUUUCAGCAAUUGCGCACAGCUGAACGUUUUGCAAUACUAUUUGCAAAAGAAUGACUUCAAUUUUGUGCUCAAUGCAGCUGCCUGAUCUUCCCAAUCCUCUGCCUAAGGAAUGUAAGCAGCCCCCGGCUAGCCGGAUUUCACCUCGCUGGG